rnacentral:rRNA from 1 species
AUUGAACGCUGGCGGCAGGCCUAACACAUGCAAGUCGAACGAGUGGCGGACGGGUGAGUAAUGUCUGGGAAACUGCCUGAUGGAGGGGGAUAACUACUGGAAACGGUAGCUAAUACCGCAUACCAUCGGAUGUGCCCAGAUGGGAUUAGCUAGUAGGUGGGGUAAAGGCUCACCUCGGCGACGAUCAGUAGCCGGUCUGAGAGGAUGAACGGCCACAUUGGGACUGAGACACGGCCCAGACUCCUACGGGAGGCAGCAGUGGGGAAUAUUGCACAAUGGGCGCAAGCCUGAUGCAGCCAUGCCGCGUGUGUGAAGAAGGCCUUCGGGUUGUAAAGCACUUUCAGCGGGGAGGCGUUACCCGCAGAAGAAGCACCGGCUAACUCCGUGCCAGCCGCCGCGGUAAUUC